UUUUUUGGAGGGGCCAAACAUUAAAGACUAGGACAUAUGGAACAAGCUCAUACACAAUGGAAAUUAAGUCACUACAUAAACCCAGGGAAAGGGGUACAGACUCAGAAAACACUUAAGAAGACCUUAUGUUUGCACCUCAGGCUAAUCUUCAGCAUACAGAUAGCCUACAACCACGCCCCAAAAACCAACCCGAAAACAAGACUCAGGAAGCUCUGGGAAGGGAGAGAAUCUGAUUUUUAAAGUUACCACAUUACUAGACCCAAAUGUUCAGUUUUGAACAAAAAAAAGUCACGAGGUAUAUGUAUUGGUCCAUUUUCAUGCUGUUGAAAAAGACAUACCCGAGAUUGAGCAAUUUACAAAAGAAAGAGGUUUCUUGGACUUACAGUUCCAAAUGACUGGGGAGGCCUCACAAUCAUGGCAGAAGGCAACGUGGAGCAAGUCACAUCUUACGUGGAUGGCAGCAGGCAAAAAAAUAACUUGUGCAGGGGAACUCCCAUUUUUAAAACCAACAGAUCUUGUGAGACCCAUUCACUAGCACAAGAACAGCACAGGAAAGACCCACCCCCAUGAUUCAGUCAUCUCCCACCGCGUCCCUCUCACAACAUGUGGGAGUUAUGGGAGCUACAAGAAGAACUUUGGGUGCAGACACAGAGCCAAACCAUAUCAGUAUACAAAGAAACAGUAAAGCAUGGACCAUUCAAAGGAAAAAAAGAAAUCAACAGAAACUUCCUUGAAAAGACCUGAUGGCUGGGGAAUCUACCAGAUAUAAAAACAACUGUCUUAAAGAUGCUCAGAGAACUAGAGGAAGACGUAGAAAAGGUCAGGAAAACAAAAUAUAAACAGGAUGCAUCCCAUGACGCUCAUCCAAAUGAAACCAUUUGGUAGGGCACACCCUCAGAAUCACGAUGGGUGCCUUGUGUACAGGAGGCCAAACUUUAUAUAAGUAUUGUACAUUUAGCAGUGGGAACUACAAUCUCUGGCCAUAGUAAAGGUGCUAGAGGAAUCAACAAUUAAGUGCAUGGCGACUCCCUGUGACAGUGUUAUUUCUGAAUCUCCCAGGGUCACCUGUCAUUCUCGCCCACAACUGGGAAUGACAGUGACCUAAGCCCCAGUGUCCAAGAGACUCAUAAAAGUUUGUGUAGUACCCUUUUCCCCUACCUCUGAAACUAGGAGUUCAGUUCCCAUUGGUGGCCCCAAAUCUUGGUCCCAUCUUUAGUCUGUCUUCUCCAAAGAUGUUAGCUCAAGAUAUAAUGGUGGAAGUGGUUCCUUUUCAAGUAGUUUCUCUCUGGCACCCACCAAUGUCUCUGCUGUUUUGUACCCUUCAAGUGUUGGUGGGAACAUGCAGGGCAGAGAACCAGUCAGCAAAAUCAACCCAGUCAAACAAGCGUUCCUCUUGCUGUUCAAUUGCUUGAACCAAGCAUUUAACAUUAAGAUCUCAGGAUUCAGGCGGGGCUCAGUGGCUCACGCCUGUAAUCCCAGCACUUUGGAUCUGCUGCACAGAUCAACCCCAUCACUAAUAUUAAGCCCAGCAUCCAUUAGCUAUUCUCCCUGAUGCUCUCCCUUCCCCACUCCCUGAGAGGCCCCAGUGUGUGUUGUUCCCUGCCAUGUGUCCAUGU
ensembl:lncRNA